GACGAACGCUGGCGGCGUGCUUAACACAUGCAAGUCGAACGGAAAGGCCCCUUUGGGGGUACUCGAGUGGCGAACGGGUGAGUAACACGUGAGUAACCUGCCCUUGACUUCGGGAUAACUUCAGGAAACUGGGGCUAAUACCGGAUAGGAAUCCUUGCUGCAUGGUGGGGGUUGGAAAGCUUCGGCGGUUUUGGAUGGACUCGCGGCUUAUCAGCUUGUUGGUGGGGUAGUGGCUUACCAAGGCUUUGACGGGUAGCCGGCCUGAGAGGGCGACCGGCCACAUUGGGACUGAGAGACGGCCCAGACUCCGACGGGAGGCAGCAGUGGGGAAGAUUGCACAAUGGGCGGAAGUCUGAUGCAGCAACGCCGCGUGCGGGAUGACGGCCUUCGGGUUGUAAACCGCUUUCAGCAGGGGCGAAGCUUGUGGUGACGGUACCUGCAGAAGAAGCACCGGCUAACUACGUG
rnacentral:rRNA from 1 species